GACGUAGGGUGCGAGCGUUGUCCGGAUUUAUUGGGCGUAAAGAGCUCGUAGGCGGCUUGUUGCGUCGACUGUGAAAACCCGCGGCUUAACCGCGGGCUUGCAGUUGAUACGGGCAGGCUAGAGUUCGGUAGGGGAGACUGGAAUUCCUGGUGUAGCGGUGAAAUGCGCAGAUAUCAGGAGGAACACCGGUGGCGAAGGCGGGUCUCUGGGCCGAUACUGACGCUGAGGCGCGAAAGCGUGGGGAGCGAACAGG
rnacentral:rRNA from 1 species